rfam:Prevotella dentalis DSM 3688 chromosome 2, complete sequence.
GGGGCUGACUGGAUUUGACAGCAGGAUGAGACGGUAUGUAAGCACGCGGAGGCUCGUUGGCUACCUCCUUAAACUGAGUGAACAACAAUUUAAUUGGCGAAAACAAUUACGCUCUCGCUGCCUGAUCGAAGCAUAGUAGAUCACUGGCUUUAUCGCGUCACCAGGUGAUGCGACGAGACAUCGCUCCAAGGAUGUGGUUCCGAAUCCAAGGAUUCAGCGGUGCAGGAAAAUCGGAAAUAGCGCGGGCAAGCCUCGUUGCCCGUGUGAAAUUCAGAGGAUAAGGUGCCGGUUGGUGGUCCAGGUCUUGCCGUCACACGAAAACAAAAGGCUGGAAUAAGCGUGUAGAAAGCGUAUGGUUUCCCUGUUUGGACGUGGGUUCGAAUCCCACCAGCUCCACAC